GUCCGUACCGUGGUGGGCCGGAAGCCGCGGCUGUGGCACGGGGGAGAGCCUUUCUCCCCGCUCAGUCCUUGCGAGCCGCUGCCUAUAGCUCGUCGGUGGGGCUGUGGGGGAGCGGGGUGGCUUCCUGCACUCCGCUCUCCUCCGGGGAGAAGCUCUCGGCACCCUCGCUUUGUCCCUUCUCCGCUUUCUUCUUCUUUUUCCCGCUCUUCUUCUUGCUUGACUUCUCCCCCGCGCUUGCCAAGUCCCCCUUCUUGCCGGUCCACUUCUCUGCUAAGCAGCCUGGGCAGGGGGAGAGAGGGCCCUGAGGAACACAUAGGGCUCCCCGUGCCCUUGCUGGAUUCCCUGUGCUCUCACAGGCAUGCACUGCCCCAGGCAGCCCCAAGGACUUACUGGCAUCCUUCCCUUUCAGCACGCGGUCUGCACAGAGGAAUUGGGAGAGAUCUUCUGUCUGGUGGUGCCGGUACCAGUCCUCGAUCACGUCUUCGUACUCCUCCACCAGCACAUCACACUGACAGGGAGAGGACAGCCUGGCACCAGCACGUGGCAGAACCCUGAUCCCAUCCCCACACCUGCUGAGCCCUUUCCAGCUCGCACAGCCGCAGCACACUGACCCCAGCAAGAAGGUACCUGCUUCUUGAGAUCCGCCACCUCGGCAGAGGUCUCAUUCCACAGCUCAUAGGGAAUGUCCAUCACCACCUUGACACCUUUGUGCACCAGGUUGUGCAGGGUCUCAAAUGUCUCUGACAUGCCCUGGGGAGAACAGAGCCAUGCAGUGAGGCUGUGCGCGGGGGCACAGAGAGACCUGAGGCAGCUGACACUGAGGUGUUACGUGCCCACCAGUCCUUCUCUGCGCUGAGCACAUCCUAAACACAGUAGGAAGGCCUAUGUGGGAUGGCACCUGGCUCCCUUCUGGCCCACCUCCCCCUCAGGACAGCACCCCAGAGCAGCGCAGCCUUGCCUGCUGUCAGCUGGCACCUGGAAGAACCGACCACAUUUCAGCACCAGGAAGGAAACCCACCUUUGCAAAUCUGUUGCUGCCGCUCCUUUCCUUGUGCAGGUUGUAGUCCAACAGCCUCUUGCAAAUGUUCUCUGUCACCUCGAUGAGCCGGAUGUCCCUGCACAGAGAGGAAGAAUGGGAACGGCUUGGAAGUACACCCCAGAACAGCCUCCAAGAUCAGGAGGAAGCAACCUGGCACAUUUCCAUGCUCCAGAGGAGGGACUCAGCCUCUUCUGUUUUUACUUACGACUGUGUGUACUUGACAGCAGCGCCCUUCCCAUCCAAGAAGCCAUACUUAGUGUCGAUGACCUCCUUGGUCUUGCCGGUCUCUUCAAAGGCAGAUUUCAGCUCCAAUGCCACGUAUUUGCACACUGCAGGAGGGAAAGCAUAGCAGAAACAUAUAAAGAACUCUUAACAAGAAGUAUAAAAAUCUCCUUGGUGCCAACCAGACGAGGCUCAUACAGAAGGAGAGGCCACAGCUACAGCUGGGGCUUGGGAACAUAGUCUGCCCCAGGCCUGUACUACUGCCCGAGGGCUGAGAACCUGCCUGUGACUGUGCAUCUCUAUGACCUGAGGAGCGCUGGAGCCAAGGAUUACUGCUCCAGCGUGAGCCUUAGCUUGAUGUUCAUGGCUGCCAGCUCUGCCAAGAAGUACCGGAAGACGUGGGGCACGGGGAUGACCUGGAUGGUGUCCAUCCUGCCACAGAGCAUGCAGGAAUACCUCCUGUUGCUUGCUACGGAGGAAGGUGGUGGGCGCUGGAGCAGAGGAGAUAACAUGCUGCCGCAGCUCGUGCAAACAUAGGCUUCCGAGCCAUCAGAGCAGCUGAACAGGCGGUCGUGCAGCAGGAAGGAGGUGCCAUGAGCCAACAGCGCAUCACGCUCCAUCUCACCAAAGCGAAUCCCCCCUUCCACGUUCCUCCCCUUGACAGGCUGGUUGGUGACGGAAUCCCGGGGUCCUGUAGUCCUCACCUGGAACUUGUCUGAGACCAUGUGGCGCAGGCGCUGGUAGUACACGACUCCCACAAAGAUGUCUGCCUCCAGCUCCACGCCGCUGAUUCCGCUGUACAUCUUUUCUGUCCCAAAGAAGUUAUAGCCCGCGCUCACCAAAGUCUCACCAAAGUACUUCAAGGCGGAGUUUUUCUCCGUGAAGGUGAAGGGAGUGGCAUCGUAGUAGGCGCCGUGCAGUGCUGCUGACUUCCCCGCCAUGCUCUCAAUUAACAUCCCGAUGGUCAUACGGGAGGGGAACCCAUGGGGGUUGAAGAGGAUGUCUGGAACCAUCCCAUUCUCCGUGAACGGCAUGUCUUCAACAGGCCAGAGCUGGCUCAGGAUGCCCUUCUGCCCAUGGCGGCUGGCAAAUUUGUCUCCAACAGUUGGGUUUCGAGGAACUCUCACAGUGAUGCAAGCCUUCUUGAAUUUCCCAGUGCCACGGUCAUUACUGCACAGCUUGAUGUUGUCCACAAUGCCGACUUCUUUAUUCCUGCAUAGGUGGAAAAACAUUCACAGCAAAGGUAUCAGAUAUGCUCAUGACUUUGAAGUGAAGCAAAGAAACCAACCCACUUUUAAAUCCAAUAAAGAGCUGGGGAUCACCACAUUUUUUGAAGAAUGUCAUUCAGGGAAAUCAGACUGCACAAGAAUUAGAGCACAGCAGCCAAACAAAGGUAUCACCCAAGUGCCAUUUGUUUGCUGUUUCUAAUGCUAGCAGCACAACUGCAACUUCCAUGUGAUGAGGUAAUGUGUCACCUAUGAUAAUAAAGUCAAAAUUAUUUAAACCUGGUUCAUCAGUACUACA